ACGGUAAUCUACUACAAGAUAAUAAAGAAAAUACAAAAUAUAAGGAAAAAUAAACAAAUCAACCUGCCCUUACCUUUGAAAACCCUCGUGGCUGGUGUGACAGAGACAAGAGAGAGGAGGGUUAUCGUGUAGGACGACUUUCACUAUCACUAAGGGAAAUAC